AUUGAACGCUGGCGGCAGGCCUAACACAUGCAAGUCGAACGGUAACAGGAAGAAGCUUGCUUCUUUGCUGGCGAGUGGCGGACGGGUGAGUAAUGUCUGGGAAACUGCCUGAUGGAGGGGGAUAACUACUGGAAACGGUAGCUAAUACCGCAUAACUUCGCAAGACCAAAGAGGGGGACCUUCGGGCCUCUUGCCAUCGGAUGUGCCCAGAUGGGAUUAGCUAGUAGGUGGGGUAACGGCUCACCUAGGCGACGAUCCCUAGCUGGUCUGAGAGGAUGACCAGCCACACUGGAACUGAGACACGGUCCAGACUCCUACGGGAGGCAGCAGUGGGGAAUAUUGCGCAAUGGGCGAAAGCCUGAUGCAGCAAUGCCGCGUGUAUGAAGAAGGCCUUCGGGUUGUAAAGUACUUUCAGCGGGGAGGAAGGGAGUAAAGUUAAUACCUUUGCUCAUUGACGUUACCCGAAGAAGAAGCACCGGCUAACUCCGUG
rnacentral:rRNA from 1 species